UACGUAGGGGGCGAGCGUUGUCCGGAGUUACUGGGCGUAAAGGGCAUGCCGGCGGUCCGACACGUUUUGUGUGACAGCGGGUGGCUUAACUACCCGAGGAUACGAAAGACGGUUGGACUUGAGGACUCGAGAGGGACACGGAAUUCCGGGUGGAGUGGUGAAAUGUGUUGAUAUCGGAAGGAACGCCGGUGGCGAAAGCGACACACUGGAUCUUGUCUGACGCUGAGGCACGAAAGCCAGGGGAGCGAACGGG
rnacentral:rRNA from 1 species